GAUUUGUUUGUUUAAUUGGUUUUAUGAUUUAACAAAGGUGAAAAAUGCAUUAAAAGUAAACUUUAACAAGAAUGUAGCGUGUGCUGCUAGCUACUGCGACAAACAUGCUAUUCUGGCAUAUCUAUGAGUUUUACUCCGUCUUAUCUAAAAUAUGUAUGAAGGAUCUAAAACAUAUUUUAAAACUAUGGCUAGGCGCUGGGGACUCUAACUGUACCACUGAUAAUUCUAAGUUAUGGAACCAUUCAGAUAGUGGCAAUACUUUCGGUCCACCAUAUAUGUUAAAAAGUUAUCUUAUUACUCAUUUAUUUGUAAAUUGUUGAAAAGUGUGGUUAGAGUUUUUUAAGCUCAGGACUAUCGAAACGUUAAUAAUUUAAUUAGUUAUGGUUAAAAAUUCAUUAUUUUUGCUAAUUUUAAUGCAUCGUAACCAUUCUUACCUCUCAUCGAUUUUUUUAGUAUAGGCAAGUUGUCACACUUAACUUCAAAGAAAUUUUGGGAAGUAAAAACCUUACUUUUUUGUUCUACUAACUCUCAGAGAAAGAUAGCAGCAAUUACAAGUGUUUCAAAGUUGGUAAUGAACCAAAUCAAAAAAAAAAAAAAGAUACAAUUGUGCCCCUAGAACCAGACCGCGUUGGUAGAAGUGGUAGAAAAAAAGAUCACUACUCAACUUCGUGACCGUAAAAUUGAGAACAUCUGUCUUAAAAACAGAAAAAAUGUGUGGCUCAACUAACUACAAUGAUAAACGAUGAAAGAAUCAAUGUCUCAUGAAGGACCGUUUGGAGACGGUUGGCUGAAGAUUUAAUGGGUUGUUGUCUAAUAAUAAAACCAACAGCAUAUGACUAUUGAAGACUGAAGCCUGCUUCUCGGACGAGUCAAUAUAUCAAGUUUUGACGGACAAAAGCUUAUUUAUUCGACGACGCAUAAGAGAAAAAUUCUACAAGAACUGCCUUUUUUAAAAGGUUAAACAUACUGUAAAUGUAAUGGUGUGGCCUGUGAUAUCAGCCAAGGCUAUGGGCUGCCUCUACAUUGUAGAAGGGACCAUGAGGCAGGACCAGUACAAGCGAGUACUGGAAAACAGACUCCUGCCUCAGGUCCAAAAUUAGUUCCCUGAUAAGGAAGAGUAUAUGUUCAUGCAUAACUCAGUACCAUGCCAUAAAGCUAGAAGUGUUACGCAUUCUUAACUGAAAAAAAUCUGCGUGUUUUGCCAUGGCCGGGAAACUCACCUGAUAUGAACCCGCCAAAGUAAUCAUCACUACCAAGCAGAAAUUGGUAGAAAUCUUUGUAGGAGAAUGGCAUAACAACCCAAGUCUCUAACCAAAUGCAAAAGUCUGCAUAGAAAGCAUGGCCAGACGCCUGAGAGCCGUUAUUGUAGCAAAGGGUUGUAUUACAAAUUAUAGGAUUAUUAUCUUAUUUGUUAUUUGAAAACUUUAUAUUAAUAAAUCAAAUUAAAAAAA